ACGAUGGAUAGGGGUUCUGAGAGGAAGGUCCCCCACAUUGGUACUGAGACACGGACCAAACUCCUACGGGAGGCAGCAGUGAGGAAUAUUGGUCAAUGGGCGUAAGCCUGAACCAGCCAAGUCGCGUGAGGGAUGAAGGUUCUAUGGAUCGUAAACCUCUUUUAUAAGGGAAUAAAGUGCGGGACGUGUCCCGUUUUGUAUGUACCUUAUGAAUAAGGAUCGGCUAACUCCGUGCCAGCAGCCGCGGUAAUACGGAGGAUCCGAGCGUUAUCCGGAUUUAUUGGGUUUAAAGGGUGCGUAGGCGGCCUUUUAAGUCAGCGGUGAAAGUCUGUGGCUCAACCAUAGAAUUGCCGUUGAAACUGGGAGGCUUGAGUAUGUUUGAGGCAGGCGGAAUGCGUGGUGUAGCGGUGAAAUGCUUAGAUAUCACGCAGAACCCCGAUUGCGAAGGCAGCCUGCCAAGCCAUGACUGACGCUGAUGCACGAAAGCGUGGGGAUCAAACAGGAUUAGAUACCCUGGUAGUCCACGC
rnacentral:rRNA from 1 species